AUGUAAAUUUUUCAUUUUAUUCAAAGUUGGUACAGAAGUGCUAACAUUUCCAUAAAAUAAUUACUAUACUUCAGUUACAGGACAAAAUACCACAGAAGGAAUAUACUUUGCAAGAAAUGUAGUUCAUCAUAAGUUUCCAAAUACUUUUAAAGGCUAAUGCAGCAGCUGGCAAAAUAACACACAGUACACAAAGAACAGUGUAUUUUACAGAGUCAGUAAUGAAAACUGACAGCUCUUUAGCAGAUUUGCUUCAUUUUUUUUUUCAUUUUUUAAACAGUAACACUUUUAAAAACACAUUGAAACCGAGAUUAAACAUGUCUACAAUUUAAAAAAAUCAGAUUGUAUACAAUAGGUUAGAAUAGUCAAGUUAGAAUUGUCAUGUACGGUUAACAAUCCUAAAUCUACAAUUUCAACUGCAUUCCUUUCAAUAUGGAAAUAACCUGGUUUACACCAAAUUCUACUUGCUGCUUGCAACUAAAACAUUGUACAAUGAGAUGGACCCAAUCAGUUAAACAAAAACAAAAACAAACCAACAAACAAAAACUAAGACAAUGAAGGGUACACUGGAAAUCAGUUUACAAUUCAAAAACUUCACCAAUAACUCAACAAUUUCAUUUAAAAUCACAUUUGGUCUACAAUGUAUAACUGACACAAGACACACCCCCAGUGCACAGACUGGUCUCUUCCAGAACAUCUGAACAAAGCUUAAGAGGCAAGACACUGGUAAAAACAUUUUUCAAUGUAGACAUAUUUUUUAAAUGCAUUAAUACUUACAUAUCAAAAUUACUAGAUAAAAGCAGCAGUACUCUGCUGACAUUUGGCUUAAAAAUAAAGGAAUGAAUGAAGCAAUUUCACAGGAUAUUAGAAAAGGAAUUGGUUUUCUUCUUGAAGAAGACUACUAACUUUUGCACAGCAACUAUUUUUGAUAUCCACCUUAUCAAAAAAAAAAAAAAAAAAAAAAAAAAAAAGAAGAAGAAGAAGGAAAAGCACUGAGAAGCAUAACAUAGUUCAUAUGUGACUGCCAACACAGGUCUGGGCAACAGAAAAACGGAUGUCCAAGCAAAAAAUGGGUAAAUCCCUGCUCUAUUUCUGAACACUGUUGGCAAUCUACACACUGAAGCAAUAUUGGUGGGGAGAGCAGGGCAACAGAUUUCAUACUGUCAUCUUUCACCAAUGUAUUAUGUCAUUAAAAAAAAAAAAAAAAAAAGCUUUUGCGUUUUAACAACCCCACAGCAAAGUCUGUGAGCAAAAGACCUGUUGAUCCGUUUGCCACUCAAAAGUUAGAGAUCUCACAGUGAAAUUAGAUAAUUCUAAUUAUACAUAUUUACACUGCUAGGACUACUUUCACCUAGACUAAUUAAAGCAAUUUUCCAAGGAAUUAGAGAUGAAAGAUAUUCUGCUAGAGGAAUCUUUCUUUAAAAGCAUCCUUUAAGUUCUUAGAAACUAUUUGAAAUUUAAACACAACCUUUAAAGGUAUGGAGCACAUCCUACAUGGGACUAACAAGGUAUUACUGCUCUGCCUUAUCACAUAUUGCUAAGCCAAAGACGUUCCUCAAACCUCUGCUUUUUCCUGCAUUUCUGGUACUCCUCUCCCUAUGCCCUGCCAAAGCCUGAAGUUUUACAUUCUAAAAAAAAAACGCUGUAGGUACACACCUGGCGAGUUUUUGCUGGAGAGAGGAAUCCUCUCCCUCAGAGUGAUCAGGUUAACUUUUCUAAAACAUGUUCCAUUUAGUCUAUACCAGCUUCAAUCUUCAAUUAAAGUUGAGUAUCCCUAAGAAGAUCACUAUACAAAAAAGAGAGUGGGAACAAAGGUAGUCACUUCUCUUUCAUUCUAAGAGUUCUGUCUUUUGACAAAUGGGCUAAGCGUUCUGUCUUGACGUGUGGGCAAAAUCUAAGACAGAGAUGUAUUUAUUCAUUGCUAAUAAAGAGAGACUCUUCAGGUGAAGAAAGUUGAGGAGUAAAGUAAGGGCAAUGCCAAGUGCAAGCAAACACAUCAUUUUCUGCUUUUGCACACACACAGAUUUUAUCUAAUCUAGCCUUGAAGCAGUCAAGCAUAUAAAAAAAGUAACUUCAUUAAAUUUAGAUUAAACUUACACAAAGAUUAAAAAUUAGUAUUUACUCUGUAAAAAUGUGAGAUUUCUCCAUGUCUUCAGGGUACUAUUAACAACAGGUAAAAUUUCAUAAAGAUUUAAGAUGUAAAAAACAAAAAAACAAAAAUCCGAUGGCUUUACAGCUUAAAGCAGACCAUUUGUCAAAUUGUUCCGCCCACUAAAAACCCAGAAGUCUGUCCCUGUUUUGAGUUCCAGAUUGGAGGAAAGAGCCCACAGAUCCCAUUUUAGCUGGUAACCCCCCAAGGCAACUGCAGUUCAUUCUUGACACUGCUAUUCUCUCCUCCACCAACGUGGUACACACUACUCAGAUCCCUACACUGACCUGCUUAUGAUUCAGGACUCCUAUCUGAGGCACCUUGUUGUCCAGGGCUUUCAAAACUACGGUCCUCAUCCUAGCAACUCCGAGACAAACACGUGGUGGGCUUUUUAUGCCUGGCACUUGUGGGAUACUGAGAAUACUGUUCGUCUUGUGCUUUCUACAUGUGGAGAUACACACACAUGAGGGAACAUGGUUUUGUGCUUUCUAUGGACCUUUAAGCAUCUUAUCACAGAAUGUGAAACUGUUGUCACAUAUAUGUUCUCAGAUAUGCCUAUCAAACCUACAGUGGAAAAACGUUAAAAUAUACUCAGAGAAUAAGUAACUUUACAUUUUUAAUUACAGAUACAAAAGAAAUACAGAGGAUGAAUAAAUAAGUUAAGCUGCAACAAAGAUUAGACCUACCUGGUUCCUCGAACCUAAAUAAAGGCUGCAUAUAAAGUAUGUAAAUAUAAAUGUAUUUCCUUCACUAGUUAUAACAAAAUUUUAAAAAGAGGAAUUGUAACAAAUAAGAGUUAUCUGUCAAGAAAGGGAAAGGUGUAAACUAGCAGAUUCAAUUUUGGCAACCAGAAGGCACUAAUCAAAUCACCUAAGUUUCAGAAGCUGAUUAUAUUAUAGAAUGGCCUUCGCCAAUUUGGGAUUUCAACAAUAUAGACAGCAAUGAACUUCAUUUCAGUUUCCAACUAUUAGAACAACAACAACAAAAAAUGAGUUCUUGAGGAACAUUCCACUUACAGAGGUAUAGGCUAUGUUGGUAUAUUGAAAAAUUAUCCAGACGGGCUUGUCCAGAGGCAAUAAAAAAAGUAAACACUCCUUUAUCCAGCAGCACUAGGGUACAAGGUGAAUUUACCACGAUAAAUAUAUGUAUGUCUCGAAUAAAGGUGUAGUUAUCGUCUAUCAACUUUUGUGCUGUUGUUGAAAUCUCUGAAAAAUGUC
ensembl:lncRNA